UACGAAGGGGGCUAGCGUUGCUCGGAAUCACUGGGCGUAAAGCGCACGUAGGCGGGCUCUUAAGUCGGUGGUGAAAUCCUGGAGCUCAACUCCAGAACUGCCUCCGAUACUGAGAGUCUUCGAGUUCGGGAGAGGUGAGUGGAACUGCGAGUGUAGAGGUGAAAUUCGUAGAUAUUCGCAAGAACACCAGUGGCGAAGGCGGCUCACUGGCCCGAUACUGACGCUGAGGUGCGAAAGCGUGG
rnacentral:rRNA from 1 species